AUGUCAAUGCCAAUUGAAUCAAUGUUAUUAGCUGUCAAUUUGUUUUUGGUAUUUUUCGUUUCUUUGGAUGAUAUGAUGGGUCAAUCAUUUGCUUCAUUAGUUCCAACAGUGGCAGCUGCGGAAUCUGCUAUUGGAUUAGCUAUUUUCGUUAUUACUUUUCGAGUCCGAGGGACUACUAUUGUCGAAUCUAUAAAUUGCAUUCAAGGUUAA
rnacentral:rRNA from 1 species